GAUGAACGCUGGCGGCGUGCCUAAUACAUGCAAGUAGAACGCUGAAGGAAGGAGCUUGCUCUUUCCGGAUGAGUUGCGAACGGGUGAGUAACGCGUAGGUAACCUGCCUGGUAGCGGGGGAUAACUAUUGGAAACGAUAGCUAAUACCGCAUAACAGUAGAUAUUGCAUGAUAUCUGCUUGAAAGGUGCAAUUGCACCACUACCAGAUGGACCUGCGUUGUAUUAGCUAGUUGGUGAGGUAACGGCUCACCAAGGCGACGAUACAUAGCCGACCUGAGAGGGUGAUCGGCCACACUGGGACUGAGACACGGCCCAGACUCCUACGGGAGGCAGCAGUAGGGAAUCUUCGGCAAUGGACGGAAGUCUGACCGAGCAACGCCGCGUGAGUGAAGAAGGUUUUCGGAUCGUAAAGCUCUGUUGUAAGAGAAGAACGAGUGUGAGAGUGGAAAGUUCACACUGUGACGGUAUCUUACCAGAAAGGGACGGCUAACUACGUGCCAGCAGCCGCGGUAAUACGUAGGUCCCGAGCGUUAUCCGGAUUUAUUGGGCGUAAAGCGAGCGCAGGCGGUUAGAUAAGUCUGAAGUUAAAGGCUGUGGCUUAACCAUAGUACGCUUUGGAAACUGUUUAACUUGAGUGCAAGAGGGGAGAGUGGAAUUCCAUGUGUAGCGGUGAAAUGCGUAGAUAUAUGGAGGAACACCGGUGGCGAAAGCGGCUCUCUGGCUUGUAACUGACGCUGAGGCUCGAAAGCGUGGGGAGCAAACAGG
rnacentral:rRNA from 1 species